GAUGAAGAACGUAGCGAAAUGCGAUAAGUAAUGUGAAUUGCAGAAUUCAGUGAAUCAUCGAAUCUUUGAACGCACCUUGCGCCUUUUGGUAUUCCGAAAGGCACACCUGUUUGAGCGUCAUGAAUACCUCAAUCUCCAUCUUUUCUUCGGAUUGAUGGGUGACUUGGAUGUUGAGCCCUGCUGGUAUGCUAUAUCAGCUGGCUUUAAACUUAUUAGCCGGCUCUGUACUGGAUCGGUUUGACUCGACGUGAUAAUAUUAUCGUUGAGGAUGCAUGUCUCAUGCAGCCGGAAAGUAUCAAAGCAGCUUCUAGCUUGCCUUCAGUGCACUUUUACAUUUUAGACCUCAGAUCAGGUGGGACUACCCGCUGAACUUAAGCAUAUCAAUAAGCGGAGGA
rnacentral:misc_RNA from 1 species